UUACAGUCCAGCCCUCCAACGGUCUGAGGGACAGUGAACUGGCCCCCUGUUUAAAAAGUUUGAGGACCCCUGAUCUAAACUGUGCCUCAAUGGGACUCAAAAAAAAAUGAAUUUGCAUGAAACUGUUGUUUGAUUCUGAGCCCUGAGUGAAGGUUUAGGGAAAUAGUGCCGAAUCCACGUCUCUGCUCAGAGGAAGUGUGUGACUCCUCACCUCUGCCGGUGUCGGCCUGGGGCCCUUGGAGAUGCAGGAUGGCAGAACCCCCCCCCCCCAGGUCGCAAUGGGAGCCCCCCAGGUUGCCAUGGAGAACCCCCCCAGGUCGCCAUGGGAGCCCCCCUCCGCCCAGGAGGAACAGGGUGGGCGCGGCCCUGGCCCUGGCCAUUCCUUCUGCGUGUCCCUCCAACACGCUGAGGAAAGGCAGCAGGAAUAGGUCUGUACACGUGGAGUAUGAGUGCCUGUCCUUGCUGGUCUCUGAUGGAUGUCCAGGUAGUCCGUUUCCUCUGACUCUCACCUGGAUGCGGGCUGUCUGCAGACGGAGGAUCAGAUGGAAACCCGGGUUCAGAGUCUCCUUGUUCUUUUGCUCCACGAGACUCUGUAACCGAGGCCACUUCUCUGCUGUUCUUGGAAAGAGGCGUCUGUCCAAGGGUCGCCGUGUGUCUCCCGUGGCGUCUGCGGAGAAUGAGGAGGCGCCUGGGGCUGAAAGGGCCCCAUCCCAGUAGGACAGACCCCACGCACUUGGGCGGCAAAGCUAUAGGCCUUUUUAUAAAAGUCUCUAGCAAGG